UCCUCCGGAACGAACUCAUUGCUUUCCCAUGGAAUUUCUCUCCACUGCGGUAUUGAGAAUUUCCAUGGAGACCAACAACGAGGUAAUUGACAACUGUCACUCGGAAUUGCAAAACAAACAACAUAACAUACAACUAUAUUUGGGAUUACAGAUAUGGUUCCUGACCAGGCGUCCACAACAAAAUUUGCUUUUUAUUGAGAUAUAUUCUCAAUAAAUAACAAAAACAAAAAUUCUGAAUGCCUUUGAAAUGGAUUUGGAUGAAGACAAGGGACGGGAGGUACAAGGGAUGAAUAACUAGAGGGCGUUGAAAACUGUGGGGAAAAAGCCAAGAUUCAUGCCGGGAAAAAUAUUGUCCUACAGUUCGGUCAAAGUAAGGGUUUCACCUUAAACUAAGUCGGCUUCCAUUUUGUUUUUACUCCUAUUGCUUUCUUCACACUUGUUCAUUAGGAAGGUCAAUGAACCCAACAAUAAUCAGCGUUGGUUGCCGUCCUACCUCAACGUUUCAAUAUGAGAAGCGAUUUACUUUUAAUUAUUCACAUUAUUUAAUCAGCUAGACACAGGAUUUUUGCCCAAACCCCCACCUGUUGGAGUGACAUGGGUAUCGAAGUGUGGGAUGCCAGGAGUGACCACUUUUAG